GGUUGACCUCGGAUCAGGUAGGAAUACCCGCUGAACUUAAGCAUAUCAAUAAGGCCGGGAGGAAAA
rnacentral:rRNA from 1 species